CCUCCCACUGAAGGCGUUUCUUCCCGGUCUCUGUUUGGGAGACGAUCCGGUCAAUGAGCUUCACUUUUCCCACGUUUUUACCCUGAAGCAGCGGAGGAGAUUUGCUCUUAUCCUUUACGGUUAUAUCCGGUCAUAAAAGUGUUUAAAUCGACUGAAAACACUCCAAACUAACAUGCAGAGGACUGUCCGUUAAACAUGUUAUAGUUCAAACAAUCAGCUGUUUUCUGUCGAUGUUUUCUCACUCCCGGGACAGUUAACGUAUUCCGUCCUCGGAUAUAACGACUAACUCCUACAGGUUGUCUCAUCUGAUGUGUUAGGACACCAUGUCUCCCCCCCGCUGCGUCCUGCUGCUGCUGCUGUCCUGCAUCCUGCUGGUCCUGCUGGUCCAGGUCCCUGGGGCUGAGUCCAGACCGGCCACAGAGGACACAGACACAGCAGACGCAGUGAAAUCCUCUGAAGACGAAGAAGACGAUGAGUCAUCAUCAGAGGAAAACAAACUGUCCAAUGAGCUGUCAACGAGUAACGAGAAAAUCCAACGUGAGCCUCCAACCUUUACUCCCUCUCUCUCU